rnacentral:rRNA from 1 species
CAGAGACAACCAGGAGGUUGGCUUAGAAGCAGCCACCCUUGAAAGAGUGCGUAAUAGCUCACUGGUCAAGUGAUUCCGCGCCGACAAUGUAGCGGGGCUCAAGCGUACCGCCGAAGUCGUGUCAUUCAUACAAUAGGUCCAACGACCGUGUGGAUGGGUAGGGGAGCGUCGUGUGCCGGGUGAAGCAGCCGUGGAAACGAGUUGUGGACGGUUCACGAGUGAGAAUGCAGGCAUGAGUAGCGAUACACACGUGAGAAACGUGUGCGCCGAUUGACUAAGGGUUCCUGGGUCAAGCUGAUCUGCCCAGGGUAAGUCGGGACCUAAGGCGAGGCCGACAGGCGUAGUCGAUGGACAACCGGUUGAUAUUCCGGUACCCGCUUUGAAACGCCCAAUAUCGAAUCAGGCGAUGCUAAGUCCGUGAAGCCGUCCUGGACCCUUCGGGGAAAGGGAAGUGGUGGAGCCGACGGACCAGACUUGUAGUAGGUAAGCGAUGGGGUGACGCAGGAAGGUAGUCCAGCCCGGGCGGUGGUAGUCCCGGGGUAAGGGUGUAGGCCGUGUGAUAGGCAAAUCCGUCACACGUUAAGGCUGAGACCUGAUGCCGAGCCGAUUGUGGCGAAGUGGAUGAUCCUAUGCUGUCGAGAAAAGCCUCUAGCGAGUUUCAUGGCGGCCCGUACCCUAAACCGACUCAGGUAGUCAGGUAGAGAAUACCGAGGCGUUCGGGUGAACUAUGGUUAAGGAACU